GUGCUCACUUCAGCAGCACAUACAAUACAAUUGGAGCAAUACAAAGAUUAGUAUGGCUCCAGCACAAAGAUGAGACACAAAUUUGUGAAGCCUUCCAAAUUUUA